rnacentral:rRNA from 1 species
UACGUAGGGGGCAAGCGUUGUCCGGAUUUACUGGGCGUAAAGGGCUCGUAGGCGGCCAACUAAGUCGGAUGUGAAAUCCCCAGGCUCAACCUGGGAACUGCAUCCGAUACUGGAUGGCUUGAAUCCGGGAGAGGGAUGCAGAGUUCCAGGUGUAGCGGUGAAAUGCGUAGAUAUCUGGAGGAAUACCGGUGGCGAAGGCGGCAUCCUGGACCGGCAUUGACGCUGAGGAGCGACAGCUAGGGGAGCAAACGGG